AUUGAACGCUGGCGGCAGGCCUAACACAUGCAAGUCGAGCGAGCGGCGGACGGGUGAGUAAUGUCUGGGAAACUGCCUGAUGGAGGGGGAUAACUACUGGAGACGGUGUCUAAUACAGCAUACCCUCCGAUGUGCCCAGAUGGGAUUAGCUAGUUGGUGGGGUAAUGGCUCACCUCGGCGACGAUCCCUAGCUGGUCUGAGAGGAUGACCAGCCACACUGGAACUGAGACACGGUCCAGACUCCUACGGGAGGCAGCAGUGGGGAAUAUUGCACAAUGGGCGCAAGCCUGAUGCAGCCAUGCCGCGUGUAUGAAGAAGGCCUUCGGGUUGUAAAGUACUUUCAGCGGGGAGGCGUUACCCGCAGAAGAAGCACCGGCUAACUCCGUGCCAGCAGCCGCGGUAAUUC
rnacentral:rRNA from 1 species